CAUUCCUCUACGUCCUCAAAGGAGACUGGGGCAUCCCAGAUCAUUCGCAUUUUUUUUGCUAUAGUUCCGGUUAUCGACACGCUUAUUUGAACUAGGCUUUUAUUACAAUUACAGAUUAAGCCCACAUGGAAUUAGGGUUCGUCUUCCGUCAUCCUCUUGCUCCUGCGACCUACACGAUGAAAUCCCACAGAGAUGAAAAGCGCCGUUUUGAUCUGCGUAACGUCUCAACAAUCCAUCCAUAAAUAUGUUCUUUACUUUGAGUUUUUUGUGAUUGAUCUACUCCUCCCACUUCACAAACAGCGUCAAGCUCUCAAAUCGCAAAAACUAACGAGCUCUUCUCAACUCCUCUGGUGAAGUAACGCACAGUUUUAAUGUUUUUCAGUAACCAAAACCCAUGAACCCCACUAUCGCCUCUUCAUUGCCUAUUUAAUUUUUUUUUUAUAACCUCUGGCGAACACAUAUAUUUACUCUCAGAGUGUGAUCUCUAAUUUCCUUACUGUAUGCCGAUUGAUUAUAGCUUAAACUCCUAGACAAGCUCUCCCAUAAUGGUAACUUGUCGGCUUCAUUUGUCCGAGUUGAAUGCAGAACGCUGUAGGGAGGUCGUUGAGGAACCUUCGAAUUUGGGAGUCUCUGAAUGUCAAAGUAGGGUCGGCUGAUGGGUGUUGAUAUGUUGCUGCUUGAUUCCAAGGAGCUCUGAUGUAUGCCUAAGUAUUUGACGGCUUAGCUAAGCUCCUUGAAGAGAAUUUGCUGAGUAGGAACGAAGAACCCGAGGUUUUGGUUGCAACUAACAUCAACCUUAAAUUAGUAGGCAGACGGCUAUUCCUGAAUAAGACAUCCACCACUCAUUUCUAUUUAGAUAAUGAGUGUGUUGCUGGUGCAAGUUAUCUUCAGAGGGUGUGUUGCAGUAAGGAAGGCUCAACCUCUAACCCGAAAGUAUGUGCUGUCAAGAAAAUUGAACCAUUGACUUUGGCCAAAUUGCAGCGUGGGUUCACAUCAUUUACAUGUGUUUCAUGCAAUGAGGAGAACAUUACUGGAGUUAUAAGAUGAGCGUCUCAGAUGCUACGGAAACUUUGAAUUUUGUUGCUUUGACACUGAAAUCACUAAACUGACCAAUAUACGCGAUGCCGAUGUCCCAACGAGCAGGGAGGUGGUGGACAAAACCCCAGGAUUGGGACCUUCUACUAAGUCUACAUGGAUGGUUGCUCAGAAAAGAAGCCACAGACUGACUAACUUAGAAAGAAGUGAAGCUUUUAAGAAAAAAAAAUAAAAAUAAAAAAAAGAAAGAAGAAAUGACCUGUACGUUGCUUUUCUUUGAAAAAAAUAUUUCCAGACACUGAAGUCUGAGUACUUCAAAACUUUGACAUAUUUUGAUUUUAUGCUUUACUUUUUUCGUAAAUGCACCGUCUCAGAUGUUUUGCAGUUGAAAAAUAAAAAGAAAAGUUGA